CUAGUAAUAUUUAAUCACACAUAGAAUCUAAAGUUAAAGGAGAACAUAUUUGUUUUUUUGUUGUUUUUUUUUUAGAUUUAGAUUUUUAAAAAAAGUUUUAUACAUUUUAACAUUUUUUUCGACCAAUGAAAAAGAAGCAUUUAUUUCUUUUAAGCUCGCGAUAUUCGGCACAAACUGGAUUAUUCAGUCUUCACUCUAGAGCGUACACACGUGGAUCAAAUUAGAGCUAGCUAGAUCUAGAUCUAAAUCUGUUAAGUUAUUAGUUAUACUACAAGUUAUAGAGCUAUAGUCACUCUAGUCUAGGUCUAGUCAAUCUAGACUUUCAUUAAUAUAAUAGAUCUAUUAUAAAUAAUUAUAUGAGCUGUACUUCUUGAUAUCAAAUUAUAUCAAUGCAUAUGUUCUUCAACUCAUGGCAGCAGCCAUGGAAAUUCAAUUGGAAUGGUCGUAACUUAUAAGUUAAAGUCUUAAGCCUAUCACAAGUACAGAUCAUCAUCAGAUGACGAAUCUCUAAAGUUGAAGAUAUCUACUUGGUAGUCUAAACCUCAAAGGAGCUUAGGGAAGUGAUGGCAUUUGCAGGGUAUAAACCAGACGACCAUGCAGAGACCAACGAGGCGACCAAACAGUCCAUCGUGCAUACCACAUAACCAGAAUGCCAGUUUUCUUUAAGGGCAGCUGACAAUAAGAAUUGUCUAUGUAUGCACUACAGAUUCUGUUCAAUAUCUUUUCAUGAGGAAGCCUGCUCAAAAAGAUCGCCACAUUUUCUUUAGGGGAAGUUGACAUUAAUCUUUUAGGUUAAUAAUAACCUAUGCAUGCAGUACAGAUGCUGUUCAUCAUCUUUUCAUAAGCAAGCCUGCUCAAGAAGCUGCUGCAUGGAAGUCAAAAUAUGAAUUAUUGCCACCAGUCUUGAAGUCAGCUUGUAAAGAAUGCUAAGAAUUGAAUGAAAAUGCUGUCUUGAUAUCUUGUUUGUGCUGUUAUAUUUGUCUUUUGUGUUGGUUAAUUAUUCCAUGAAUAAAAAAUAAAAAAAAGUUAA